ACUUCCCUAGUAUAAACCUUACAAAUGACUUCCAAUCAUUACAUCCUGAUGAGACCUCAGGGGGGAGUA
rnacentral:tRNA from 1 species